rnacentral:rRNA from 1 species
GUGGGGAAUUUUGGACAAUGGGCGAAAGCCUGAUCCAGCAAUGCCGCGUGCAGGAUGAAGGCCCUCGGGUUGUAAACUGCUUUUGUACGGAACGAAAAGCCUGGGGCUAAUAUCCCCGGGUCAUGACGGUACCGUAAGAAUAAGCACCGGCUAACUACGUGCCAGCAGCCGCGGUAAUACGUAGGGUGCAAGCGUUAAUCGGAAUUACUGGGCGUAAAGCGUGCGCAGGCGGUUUUGUAAGACAGUGGUGAAAACCCCGGGCUCAACCUGGGAACUGCCAUUGUGACUGCAAGGCUAGAGUGCGGCAGAGGGGGAUGGAAUUCCGCGUGUAGCAGUGAAAUGCGUAGAUAUGCGGAGGAACACCGAUGGCGAAGGCAAUCCCCUGGGCCUGCACUGACGCUCAUGCACGAAAGCGUGGGGAGCAAACAGGAUUAGAAACCCCGGUAGUCC